GAUUUACUGUAUAGAGAAGUUAAAUAGCUAUAUAAACUUAAUUUCACUAAACUUGAGUAAAUUAAUAUGUCACUAAAACUGUUACUAUGAAAAAGCAGUUAAGACAAUCAUGAAUAAUAUUUUACAUCAAUCACCAAUGUUACUUUUUUUUAAGGUAUGCAGAAUCUGUGGGAGCAAAACAUUAUCAUACUUCAGCCAAACAGAACAAAGGAAUUGAGGAACUCUUUCUUGACCUUUGUAAAAGGAUGAUAGAAACAGCACAAGUGGAUGAGAGAGCAAAAGGCAAUGGCUCUAGUCAGCCGGGAACUGCAAGGCGAGGUGUACAGAUUAUUGAUGAUGAACCUCAAGCCCAGACCAGUGGUGGAGGGUGCUGUUCUUCUGGAUAACUGUUCACGCCUAAGA
rnacentral:sRNA from 1 species